rnacentral:lncRNA from 1 species
GUGGCAACGUAAGUGAACUCUGGUUGUCCUCACUGCUCAUUUGUCUACACAAGUACUUCUAAGAGAAAGUUCAUAGCAGCACUGUUCAUAAUUGCCCCAAACUAGAAACAAUCCAAAUGCUCUAUUAAUAGGUAAAUGUAUAAACAAACUUUGGUAUAUCCAUGUAAUGGAAUACUGCUCAGAUAUAAAAAGAAACGAGUACUGAUAUGCACAACAUAAAUGAAUCUCAGAAGCGUCAUGCUGAGUGAAAACAGUGAGAGACAAAAGGCCACAUUUUAUAUAUGGUUCCAUUAAUACAACAUUCUGGAAAAAACAAAACUAUAUGCACACAAAACAGAUCAGUA